GUGCUUGCUUUGGCAGCACAUAUACUAAAAUUGGAACAAUACAGAGAAUAUUGGCAUGGUCCCUGCACAAGGAUGACAUCCAAGUGUUUAAACAUAAAAUACUUUA
ensembl:snRNA U6 U6 spliceosomal RNA